GAAGGCGGGUUCUUUCUUGUGAUAGGUCGUCGCUAAGACACGCCAAAGAUUGACAGCUUUCCGGCUUCCGGUUCAUUCCGUGGGCUGUGCGCAGAAGUUGCUAGUCACAGGAGCCACAAUGGCGUUUGUAGUCUCCUUAAGAUAGGGCUGUGGAUGAUAUUAAAUCCACUAGCAUCGCCCUAAAUAUAGGCCUGGUUGAUUCCCAGAGCAAUUGAUAAUAAACUGGAACAUCUAUUGCACACGAAAAUAUUAUGAUUUCUAUUCAAUAUUGAGUUUAUAGAAGAUAAAACUAACAUUAAAGGGAACAUGUAAACAGUACCAACCGGGUCAAGUUUUCAUUUUGUUGGAGAAACGAGCGUCUUUUAAUGAAGACGUUUCCUUGUUUCUGAAAUCCAAAACCGUAAUUUUGUGGAAAAACACCUUUACUUAACUUGGCACCGGACAAGGACAGCUUUCACAAAGGGACUUUUUUCUUUUUUACGAGUCAGCAGAGCAUUAGCUAGCGGUGCUAGCUAAAUUGAAACGGAGACGACAGCACAGUGCUCCGGUCUUUGGUUGGGAUCUUCUUCUUUUAAUAAUUCUCGGUUCCUGAUCUACAGAACUGGAAAACGACCGCGGUGUUUUUCUGCUUUGACGAACUGUGGCGGCGAUCUCAGCGGAAUGAAUUAGCGCUGAGGAGGACUGGACAAACGGUUCUCCUGUGAAUGAAUUGCCUGGACUACCAAGGCCCAGUCGCAGGAGAGGUACCGACGCCGGCGUGAGUGAUGCCUGGGUCGGACCGACGCCAUGGGACCAAGAGGAAGCCGGAAUCUAGCAUCAGCGGUGUGCCGACCCAGGCCCCGACCCGCUCCUCCGACAUGACGAGCAAAGGCGGCAAGGUGCAGUUGAAAUCUCUAAUGUCGGCUUCAAAACGCAAACGACACAAGUCGAACAAACUUAAUCGGGAAUUCUUGGCGGCACAGGGACCCGACGAUUUUACCCUCGGCGAUACGGCGCCUCCUGGUGUCAACCCGGUGAAGCCUCUGGUGGAGUACGACGACAUCAGCUCCGACUCGGACACGUUCUCGGACCCACCGUCUUCCAGGCCUUCCGAGAGGGGGGUCGGGGACCGCCUGGAGCCCUCACCUGAAGACGGUAGGGACGACAUUGGCAGAGAAGCUGGCGGUGGAGAGAGUCGGGGGCACAGGCACUCUCGAAAAAAAUCGAAGGACCCUAAUAAAGUUAGAGACUCCGGGAAUGGGGAACGUGGGUACAAGAAAAAGAGCAGCAAGGACCGGGAGAAGGGGGUUCCUGGAAGGAGCAAGGAGAAGGCUGCCUCCUCAGGCUCCUCGUCCAAACGCCACAUUCAGUCAGAAGGAGACCUGAAACGCGGGGAGCUGAUGCUCUCCCAGGGCCAACCCGCGGCCAGUGUAGGCAGCACCACUUCCUCCACGUCCUCGUCUCGCAGUAAAGAGAGCGGGCGCUCAGGGAAGUCCCGCAAAGACCGGCAGCAGCGGAGGGAAGUCCGCGGAGAGGCCGGCCACAGCUCGACCCAAAGGAUCCGGACGGACAGGACCCAUCGCAAGUCCUCCAAGAGCCACAAGUCCAGCCCCAAGGGCAAGUCUUCGGUGCGGGGUAGCCCCCGCAGGAAGGGUACUAGCUCUGCCCUGUCGCCGAGUCCCAGAAGAGGGGCUGGCAGUGAGAGUCCACUGGGCAGCGGGUACGGGCAGCAGGGGGAUGAGUCCUACAGCAGGCGGAGGGCGCCCCAGCAGAGCCCCAGUCCCUACGGGGACAUGUCCCACCGCACCAGGCAGAGGUCCGACAGCCCCUACGGCGGCAGACACCGGUCUUCCAGCUACGAGAGGGACAGCAGCCCCUACCCAGGCAGGAAGCGCUCCAUGAGUCCUUACGGCGCUCGGAGGUCGUCCAGCACCAGCCCCAUGUCUCGACGCUCAGGUCGCUCUAGGAGUCGCUCCCCUCUGCAGUAUUCAUCUCGUCGCUCCUCGUCACGCUCCCGUAGUAAAAGGCUUAGUUCCUCUGGGGCAGUAGGUGGCAGCUCCCACAGCAGCAGGCCAACUAGCCGCUCCCCCCCUUCCACCCGCCUGCCGCUGAACUCCAGUCUGGGAGCAGAGUUGACCCGCAGGAAAAAGGAACGCCUGGCGGCGGAGGCGGCUGCCCGCGCCACGAGUGGCGGCGCUUCCCCUCUUCCUUCAGUACGAAAACCUGCCGGCCCCGCCUCGGCACGACCUGCUAAAGCUGAGGCUCCACAGCCAGAGGAGGCAGCAGCAGCACCACCAGAACCUCAGCCCCCACCACCCACACAGUUAACACAGGAAGCACCUCCUGUGGAAGAUCAAGCUAUUGCACCUGCUCUGGCUUCUUCCACCACCUCACCUGCACCUUCUCAGCCUUCUCCUCCUGCACCGCCGCCUAGUUCAGCCAGCCAGGUUCCACCGGCGCCUCAGACAGAAUGUGCUCAGCCUCCAAUACCUUCUACCACAUCCCAUGCAAAGUCUCCAGCUGCCGUUCCUGCACGAAGCCCCGUUUGUCAGACUACAAUCCACAAGACGUCCACUCUGCCCCCCCUGCCUUUACCACCUGCACUGCUUGGAAACACUCAGGACAGCCCAAAGAAGUCCACCCCUCCCCAGAGGCUCUCAAGAAAGGACAAGGAAGUUCGCAGCCGGCCAUCACUCAUCGACCUUCCUUUACCACCCACCCUACAUGGAGCAGACUCAUCACCCCCCCAGUCCCCCGUUCGACAGGCUCCCCCACUUCCUCAACCAGCCCUUAAAAAGAGACCAAAGAUUUGCUGCCCACGCUACGGUGAGCGCAAACAUACUCAGAGUGACUGGGGCAAACGCUGUGUAGAUAAGUUUGACAUAAUUGGCAUCAUAGGAGAAGGCACAUAUGGACAAGUGUACAAGGCCAAGGACAAGGACACCGGUGAACUAGUGGCUCUGAAGAAAGUGCGUUUAGACAAUGAAAAGGAGGGGUUCCCCAUCACAGCCAUCCGAGAGAUCAAGAUCCUGCGGCAGCUCAAACAUCGCAGUGUUGUCAACAUGAAGGAGAUCGUCACUGACAAGCAAGAUGCACUUGACUUUAAAAAGGAUAAAGGUGCGUUCUACCUGGUCUUUGAGUACAUGGACCAUGACCUGAUGGGCUUGCUGGAGUCUGGCCUGGUCCAGUUUUCUCACGAGCACAUCCGCAGCUUCAUGCGCCAGCUGAUGGAAGGCCUGGACUACUGCCACAAAAACAACUUCCUGCACAGAGACAUCAAAUGCUCCAACAUCCUGCUCAACAACCGAGGACAGAUCAAACUGGCUGACUUUGGCUUGGCCCGGCUUUACAAUUCAGAGGAAAGCCGACCGUACACUAAUAAAGUAAUCACACUAUGGUACCGCCCCCCUGAACUCCUGCUGGGAGAGGAAAGGUACUCUCCAGCCAUUGAUGUUUGGAGCUGCGGGUGUAUUCUGGGAGAGCUCUUUACGAAGAAGCCCAUCUUUCAAGCUAACCAGGAACUUUUACAGCUGGAGCUCAUUAGCCGUUUGUGUGGAAGCCCAUGUCCUGCAGCCUGGCCUGAUGUCAUUAGACUUCCCCUUUUUAACACCAUGAAACCCAAGAAACAGUAUAGAAGACGCCUGAGGGAGGAAUUUGCCUUUUUACCUACUGUAGCUCUAGACUUGCUGGACCGUAUGCUGACCCUCGACCCUGCACGUCGAUGCACAUCGGAGCAGGCUCUCAACAGUGACUUUCUGUGUAACGUGGAGCCCAGCAGGAUGCCACCACCGGACCUUCCUCACCAUCAGGACUGCCACGAGUUGUGGAGUAAGAAGAGACGCAGGGCACGUCAGAGUGGGGUGCCUGAAGACGUGCCUGUGCCCAAAGUGCCCCGUAAAGAUGCGACAGGAACCUCUAGUGGGGAGAACAGUCGGUCACAAAGCAGUCCGGCUGCCCCGCCACCUCCACCAGGAAAGCCACCCGCCACAGCCAACUUGGAGAGCCUGGGAGCAGCUGCAGAGCAGCUGAACCAGACUGAGCUGGCAGUACUGUUGAACCUCCUACAGGGACAGGGAGAUCUCAGUCUGCCUCAGGUGACCCAGCUCCUCAAUGUCUCCAACCCAGAGACUCUUAUUCAGACAUUGUCUGCCCUCAGUGAGGCCUCUGACCACCAGGGGGCUUCAGAGGACCCAAGCCAUUCUGGUGCCAGGUCUCAGCCUCCAGAGCCGCCACCUGAAGUCCAGGAGCCCUCGCCAACGUCCGGAGAACCGCCGCUCAGCCAAGACGACCAGGCGAACCUGCUCGCUCUCAUUUUGGGCCACAUUAUCAAGACUCAAACUGAGGAGCAAGGUGACGAGAGCAAUGGCGUCCAGUCAGACGAGGCCCUAACGCGCGGUUCAUCUGCCUCUACUACUGAUCAAAAGGAUGGUGCAGCAUCAAAAAGGAAACAGCUUGGGGCCAACCAGGUGCCUCCAUCUAGUGAGCAACGUCCACCCUCUCCACCCGGUCCACCUCCAUCUGCCACGCUGCUGGCUGGGUCAGAAACCCAACCCAGUCAGGACAUCAGCCCCGCCGUGGCAGCUGCCUUGCUCCAGCUCAUCUCUCAGCAGGACUCGGAUGCUGGGGCUUCCCAGCCCAGCAAGACCCCCUCUCCGGCUGUAGAUGCUCCAUCCCAGGGACAGCCCCCGCCUCCCUGGGUCGCAGACUCCUCACCUAAACCUUCAGCUGCAGCUGAGUCCCCGGCAGGACUGGUGACUGCUGCUUCUAGCACCACGGCACAGUUCCCGAAGGACCAGGACCUCCGCUUUGCCCAUGGAGCUGCCCGCUGAUCUUCAGUCCCCUGGUGAGAUGGGCCUGGAUACCUUGGGCUGGUGCCAGCAAUUCUGGCCUGAAGGGAAAGGCAGGACACACAUUAUGACUCACCGGACCAUGACCAGCCUGGUGAGGUGACACCCUGUGUGCAGUGUGACACCGAGCUGUCACCUCCCACUGCCUGCAUCACACCUCUGCCCCCUGCUGGGCCAACCCCGUCACGGCACCCAGCCGGCCUCUCCUCCUCCGCUCAGACCAAAAGUGACAAGCCGCGCACGCGCACGUCCCCUCAGUCAUGCACUCAAGCGCUUUCUUUUGCAACUUUGCGUUUCCAGUCACUCUGGACUAAGUUACUUAAACCAUUUCAUGUAUUUUAUGCACUUUGCCUUGUGCGUGCUGUGAUGUAAUGUACAUGUCACAUGUUCUUUUUAGCUUUUGUUCCACUAUAACAAUUAAAAGAUAAAAACAAAUGCGUCAAACAAAUUAAACAUAUUAAAAGUAAUAAACAAAAAUUAAAAAAAAUUAAAUUAAAGAUUUUGCUAACUUUUGUUUCUGAUGAGUGGAUUAUUUAUUUAUUUUCAAAUCUCUAAAAUAAUUUGUGUUUGUGACAACCGUGCACCGUUUUGAGGUUCCCACACAGACAUAACUCAAUUAAAAAUUGAAAAAAAAGUAUUUUUAUUGAUUCAUUUCUCAAAUUCUUUCCAAUCUAGAUUCAUCUGGUGGCACAUUGACACACAGCUGAUUCUGCGGUCACACCAGGAUGCCGCGGUGUCUGAGCGUGACAGCAGAGGAGUCCUCCACGUCCCCUCACUCACGCUCUCCAGUCUCGGUCUGUUUGCACUUUCAUAUCUGAUUAUGCUUUAGCUUAUGGAGCCACUGGCUUGAGUGUGUCCAGCCAGGCAGGCCAGUGGAGAGCAGGGACAGAGCGAUUGAGAUAUAGAGCAUUAGUUGGUGUCAGGAGUAAAUUAGAGGCCAGAUCUGUUUUCUAAUCAGAGCACAAGCACCGUGUUAGAGGAAUUAGGGCGACAGCUGCUGGGAGCUUUUUAUUCCUCUCUUUCUCAGCCAGAGACAGGCAGACCCCAGCUCAGGGACCACCUCUUUACCACAGCCACCUGUCAACGCUGGUGCGUGUGUGUGUGUGUGUGUGUGUGUGUGUGUGUGUGUGUGUGUGUGUGUGUGUGUGUGUGUGUGUGUGUGUGUGUGUGUGCGUGCGUGUGCGUGUGUGUGUGUGUGUGUGUGCGACAGAGAACAGAAACAUGCGUGCGCCCCCCCUACACACACACACAGUGCCAUGCAGCCUGCACACAUGCUUGCACACAGACACACAAACACCGUCUGGUACAGUGACCUCCCUCCAUCUCUGAAAUUAAUGACAGUGCAGGUUGUGUACGCACGCAGGCACUCAUUCAUUGUGUGUUUAUGUUUUCCAGUAAGUGUGAAAGGCCCUUAUGAGAUAUCAAAUUUAGAUCAGGUGGAGCGGUGGGCAGCCUCGCAUAUGUCUGUUUACUACGGAUCCCAGCGAAGGCCACUACACGGCAUCCGUCUUAUCAGUGAACAGGUAUUUUUAGACUUUAGACCCCUGGUCACAAACAAAACACGGAAACAGCCGUCAUUAGUUUCUGUCAAAAUAAAAGCGUACGAGCAAAUAAGAAAGAAUAAACUCAGUCAAGUUUACAAUGAGUGAUGAAUAAAUGAGUGUCGUGAGCUGCUCGCACUGAUUUUUCCUAGCAGACAUCUCUGGUGGGCAGGACUGUGGGAGGGUGAGAGGUGUAGGAGGAGGCACAGAGAUUCACACCAUGUCACACACUUGCUACAGAAAUGUCACCUCUUGUUUUUGCAGAUCAGCUGAAUCUGUAGUGUUUUUCAGGUGGUUGUUGUUUUGUGGGUUUCCUGUGUGCUUUGAAUUUAAACAGGCCUUUUUAAACCCCAGGAAAUCACAAGCAAAUUGCACCAACAAAUAAAUUAUUUGAAAAAAAAAAUAUUAUUUGUUUUAUAUAUAAAAAAUCCGUGAAUUACGGGGAAUUUGUUGAUCUUAUUUUAAUGCAUUCCUGCAGUUAUUACCCUUUUAUUGCACAUCUCAGUGCUGCUUCUUUAUUAAAUCCCUCAUUCUUCUUUAGCUGGCAGCUUGAAGAGGACACAGUAGAAAUAAAUUUAAAAUUAUGUAAUCAUUAUUAGAACAUUUACAAUAAUUCACAUUAGCAGUAUAUUAAAUAAUCGUUUUCCUUGCAGUUAAAUAAACACCUGAAUAUAGGUCACAUUAAACAUAAUUAGGCCAGUUAUUUUUUAAAGACAUCAUCUGAUUGGCUGUUGUAAGUGUCUGUCUCAGCACACUAAUAAAAAUCACACUAUGUGUUAAUAGUAAGUUAAAUAGGUUAAAUCCAGGUCUACAGUGAGAAACCUGAAAGAAGAAUCUAACUUUAAUUCAGGCAACAUUCAUGCAGCUUUGGAGGCUAAUUUGCUAUUGGCUGAGGCCUAAUAGGGAAACACAUGCACGUCCACACCAACACACUCACACACACACUCACACACAGACACAGGCCUCCUCUCUCUCUCUCUAGCACAUCCCACACAUGUGCGCUGCCACACACUGUCAUAAAUAGACAGACAGUGCCAAUCUGAAGGCUGGACGGGAGCCAGCUCUGCAGCAGCUCAGUAGUUAAAUUAUUAACACCAACUGGGAGAGAGACAAAGAGAGGAGCAGAUCAGGCAGCUCAGAGGAGAGGUGAUCUGGAGAGGAGAAAAGAGGAGGUGAAUGGAGACAAGCUCAACAUCAGAGGGGCCGAGGAGGUUGCGGCCGCUCAGGUGCUGACGCUGUGUAGGGACGGAGAAGAGAGAGACGCUCCAGCAGCCACGCGAAAUCAAAACGCCUCUGAUAUUCAACCCAGGGAGAGAUUUUGGGUCGCAUUCACAAAACAAAAGGAUUUUUGUGAUGUGUGUGUGAGAGGAAGGUAGAGAGAUGAGGUGGAUGCUGAGUUUUUUUUUUUUAGAUAGAUGUUAGUGGAA